rnacentral:rRNA from 1 species
UACAGAGGGUGCAAGCGUUGUUCGGAAUUAUUGGGCGUAAAGAGCGUGUAGGCGGCCAGAUAAGUCCGCUGUGAAAUCUCGAGGCUCAACUUCGAGCUGUCGGUGGAAACUGUCUGGCUAGAGUCCGGAAGAGGAGAAUGGAAUUCCUGGUGUAGCGGUGAAAUGCGCAGAUAUCAGGAAGAACACCCGUGGCGAAGGCGGUUCUCUGGGACGGUACUGACGCUGAGACGCGAAAGCGUGGGGAGCGAACAGG